rnacentral:lncRNA from 1 species
CUCCAGGUAUUUUGGGCAGUUCCUCUUCCAAUGUCCAGUCUUGUUACAGUGGAAGCACUUACCCUCCUUUGCAAUGCCACCAGUAGGCUUCAAAGCUUUAGGGUUAGGUUUAGGUUUGACAACUUCCUUGCCCUUCCCUUUUCCGCCCUUUCCUUUGUUGCCCUUGUGAUUCCCAUUGCCGAUCAUUAGAACUUGAUUCGACUUCCCUUUUGAUCUCAUGUUAUGUUCAGCUUGUCUCAACAUGUUUAAUAGUUGUGGUAGAGUUUUCUCCAUGUCUGACAUGGUG